CCUCCUUGUGCGGAGAUUGAGGAGCAUCACGUAGCUGUUGUUUGCUUAGAAGCACUUCGCUCCUUGUCAGCAUAUCAGCAGUAGCUAUGGAAGAAACAGUGGAGAUGGGCAGGAAUUCUGCUGCCUCAGCUCUAAGCAACGUGGUGUGUAAAUCAGAGCUUACAGCAGGAGGAGCUCAUUAAUGUGGAUGAAGCGGGACAGAUACACUACAUGAGGUCUGGAAGAGUGUGGAGAUGGAGACAAAGUGAGAAAACUUGUUAACAGAGCCUGUAACUAGGCUUGAAAAUGCAACUUGCUGAGCUGGAGUGAAAUAAAGUACUUAAAAUUACA